AUAUAGUAAAUCCAGCUACUAUUCUUUUAGUAGGACGGUGGUCUUCGUCCUCCUAAGCCAUUUUAGAUGAUAGAAAUUUCGAAUCGAUGAUCGAAAUUGUUAAAGUUGAUCUAUAGAGUAUUUAUAAUGUCUAGAAACUAAAUUUUAAAAUUUGUUGUCAAAUUUAUUGAAGAGUUAAAAAAUGAGUGGUAAAAAAUGAAUAAUUUUGUGAAAAUAACUGUUAGACUUUUUCAAUUCAUGAUCAGAAUUAUCAUACGUUAUCUAAAUAGUAUAAAAAUUUUCUAUCAAAAAUUCAAGCUGCUUGGAUUGUUCUUCACGGUUAAACAAGCAAACGACUCAUAUAGGCGGUCAAAAACUAUCGAUUUUGAAAUCAUUUGAUCACUAUGUAAAUAAUUCUAAAUCAACUUUAACAAUUCCGAUAAUCAAUUUGAAAUCUCUAUCAUCUGAAAUGAUUUAGAAGGAUGAAGAUCUCCAUCCUUCUAAAAGGAUAGUAAAUGGAUUCUAUAUAUAGUUG
rnacentral:lncRNA from 1 species